UAAAGUAAAAGUGCAGCACCCCUCCCCCACACACCUACCAGGCUGUAGGCCUGUUCCCUUUAGUUUCAUAUUUAACGUUCCCGCUGUUGCUGCGUCAUGUCGCGUGCUGCCAUGGUCCCGUCUGUGUAAACUGCGUAGAGGCCAUUUAGUGAAGGCGGGAUUUGAACCUGUACUUCAGGAGAACCUACAGGUGAAGGUAGAAAGUCUCUGGGAGCUGAUGUGGAUUCAGGUAACAUGGUUGAUGUGUGGAGCUUUUGGCUGCGUGCUCUGACCGGAUACAGUAGUACAGUACAGUGGUGUUCCAGAUGUUGAAGAGCUUUUCAAAGUCCGUCAGACAGAAGUGAAAACUUCCACCAACAUGGAAACUGUCAGAUCAGUGUAUUGAUUAUUGGGAUGAAGCAGCUGUUCCAAAGCUCCAUGGGUUUCCUCCCGUCAGAGCUCUGUGUGUUUGUCAUGUGACUGAGAGGCAUGAUGGGAAAUGAUGUGUGCGCUCUCCCAGCAGGUUGUUGUGUUGGUGUGACGGUGGGGGCUCUGCUAUGGAUCAGUGUGAGGACAGAGAGGAGGAAGCCCCUCCCUCUGAAACCUCUCUGUGUGGGCAACAUGACAGAACGACCACAGCUCAGAGGAUCCAUCAGAGACCUAAAUCUCCUGAUCCCAGCUGUGUGUCCUUCAAGAGCGACCGGUCGAAGGAGUUUGUUAUUAAUUUUAAACAAAGACAUUUAUCUGAUAAAAAGAUCCAUCAGAGACCAGACUCUCCUGGACCUGGUUCUGAGCCUGAACCCAGCUGUGUGUUCAUGAAGAGUGACAACAGUAUGAUGUUACCUUUAUUCUUCAAAGAUAAACUCCAGUCGGUCGAUCCAAGAGUGGACCAGGAGAGCUCAGAGGUUCCCAGGUCUCAGUCUGCCCAGCAGCAUCAAACACAGCUGGACUCCAUAUUUAUGCUGCUGGAGGAGAACAUGGUCACUUUUGUGAAGAACCAGCUGAAGAAGAUGCAGAAGCUUCUGAGUCCAGAUUACCCAGAAUGCUCAGGGAGUCAGAGGGAGGAUGAGGGGGUGUUGGACGGUGAGGAUGAAGAGCAGAGGAGCAGCAGAGAGGCAUUUGUGAAGAUCACAGUGAACUUCCUGAGGAGAAUGAAGCAGGAGGAGCUGGCUGACUGUCUGCAGAGCAAACUUUUUGCUGCAGUUUGUCGACGUGAACUCAAAUCUAACCUGAAGAAGAAGUUCCAGUGUGUGUUUGAGGGGAUUGCUAAAGCAGGAAACCCAACCCUUCUGAACCAGAUCUACACAGAGCUCUACAUCACAGAGGGAGGGACUGGAGAGGUCAAUGAUCAACAUGAGGUCAGACAGAUUGAAACAGCAUCCAGGAAACCAGUCAGACCAGAAACAACCAUCAGACAAGAAGACAUCUUUAAAGCCUCACCUGGAAGAGACGGACCAAUCAGAAGAGUGAUGACAAAGGGAGUGGCUGGCAUUGGGAAAACAGUCUUAACACAGAAGUUCACUCUGGACUGGGCUGAAGACAAAGCCAACCAGGACAUACAGUUCACAUUUCCAUUCACCUUCAGAGAGCUGAAUGUGCUGAAAGAGAGAAAGUUCAGCUUGGUGGAACUUGUUCAUCACUUCUUUACUGAAACCAAAGAAGCAGGAAUCUGCAGGUUUGAUCAGUUCCAGGUCGUGUUCAUCUUUGACGGUCUGGAUGAGUGUCGACUUCCUCUGGACUUCCACAACACUGAGAUCCUGACUGAUGUUACAGAGUCCACCUCAGUGGACGUGCUGCUGACAAACCUCAUCAGGGGGAAACUGCUUCCCUCUGCUCGCCUCUGGAUAACCACACGACCUGCAGCAGCCAAUCAGAUCCCUCCUCAGUGUGUUGACGUGGUGACAGAGGUCAGAGGGUUCACUGACCCACAGAAGGAGGAGUACUUCAGGAAGAGGUUCAGAGAUGAGGAGCAGGCCAGCAGGAUCAUCUCCCACAUCAAGACAUCACGAAGCCUCCACAUCAUGUGCCACAUCCCAGUCUUCUGCUGGAUCACUGCUACAGUUCUGGAGGAGGUGUUGAAAACCAGAGAGGGAGGAGAGCUGCCCAAGACCCUGACUGAGAUGUACAUCCACUUCCUGGUGGUUCAGUCCAAAGUGAAGAAGGUCAAGUAUGAUGGAGGAGCUGAGACAGAUCCACACUGGAGUCCAGAGAGCAGGAAGAUGAUUGAGUCUCUGGGAAAACUGGCUUUUGAGCAGCUGCAGAAAGGAAACCUGAUCUUCUAUGAAUCAGACCUGACAGAGUGUGGCAUCGAUAUCAGAGCAGCCUCAGUGUACUCAGGACUGUUCACACAGAUCUUUAAAGAGGAGAGAGGCCUGUACCAGGACAAGGUGUUCUGCUUCGUCCAUCUGAGUGUUCAGGAGUUUCUGGCUGCUCUUCAUGUCCAUCUGACCUUCAUCAAGUCUGGACUCAAUCUGAUGUCAGAAGAACAAUCAACUUCCUGGUUAUCUAAAGUCUUCAGGGACAAAUCUAAACCCAAACAUUUCUACCAGAGAGCUGUGGACGAGGCCUUACAGAGUCCAAAUGGACACCUGGACUUGUUCCUCCGCUUCCUCCUGGGUCUUUCACUGCAGACCAAUCAGACGCUCCUACGAGGUCUGAUGUCACAGACAGGAAGUGACUCACAGACCAAUCAGGAAACAGUCCAGUACAUCAAGAGGAAGAUUGAAGAGACUCCCUCUGCAGAGAAAAGCAUCAACCUGUUCCACUGUCUGAAUGAACUGAAUGAUCGUUCUCUAGUGGAGCAGAUCCAACAGUCCCUGAGAUCAGGACGUCUCUCCACAGAUAAACUGUCUCCUGCUCAAUGGUCAGCUCUGGUCUUCAUCUUACUGUCCUCAGAAGAAGAUCUGGACGUGUUUGACCUGAAGAAAUACUCUGCUUCAGAGGAGGCUCUUCUGAAGCUGCUGCCAGUGGUCAAAGCCUCCAACAAAGCUCUACUGAGUGUCUGUAACCUCUCAGAGAGAAGCUGUGAAGCUCUGUCCUCAGUCCUCAGCUCCCAGUCCUCCAGUCUGAGACACCUGGACCUGAGUAACAACAACCUGCAGGAUUCAGGAGUGAAGCUGAUCUCUGCUGGACUGGAGAGUCCACACUGUGCACUGGAGACUCUCAGACUGAGUGUCUGUAACCUCUCAGAGAGAAGGUGUGAAGCUCUGUCCUCAGUCCUCAGCUCCCAGUCCUCCAGUCUGAGACACCUGGACCUGAGUAACAACAACCUGCAGGAUUCAGGAGUGAAGCUGAUCUCUGCUGGACUGGAGAGUCCACACUGUGCACUGGAGACUCUCAGACUGAGUGUCUGUAACCUUUCAGAGAGAAGCUGUGAAGCUCUGUCCUCAGUCCUCAGCUCCCAGUCCUCCAGUCUGAGACACCUGGACCUGAGUAACAACAACCUGCAGGAUUCAGGAGUGAAGCUGAUCUCUGCUGGACUGGAGAGUCCACACUGUGCACUGGAGACUCUCAGACUGAGUGUCUGUAACCUCUCAGAGAGAAGCUGUGAAGCUCUGUCCUCAGUCCUCAGCUCCCAGUCCUCCAGUCUGAGACACCUGGACCUGAGUAACAACAACCUGCAGGAUUCAGGAGUGAAGCUGAUCUCUGCUGGACUGGAGAGUCCACACUGUGCACUGGAGACUCUCAGUCUGUCAGGAUGUCUGGUCACAGAGGAAGGCUGUGCUUCUCUGGCCUCAGCUCUGACAUCCAACCCCUCCCAUCUGAGAGAGCUGGACCUGAGCUACAAUCAUCCAGGAGACUCAGGAGUGAAGCUGCUGUCUGCUGGACUGGAGGAUCCACACUGGAGACUGGAGACUCUCAGGGCGGAGCCUGGUGGAGUCCCAUGGUUGACUCGAGGUCUGAGGAAGUAUUCCUGUGAACUCACAAUCGACACAAACACAGUGAACAGAUGGAUCAAACUGUCUGACAACAACAGGAAGGUGAGACGUGUGAGAGAGAAUCAGUCAUAUCCUGAUCAUCCAGACAGAUUUGACCACUGGCCUCAGCUGCUGUGUUCAACUGGUCUGACUGGUCGCUGUUACUGGGAGGUCGAGUGCAGAGGAGGGGUUCAUAUAUCAGUGAGUUACAGAGGAAUCAGAAGGAAAGGAAACAGUAAAGACUGUUGGUUUGGAAGAAACGAUCAGUCCUGGAGUCUGAUCUGCUCUAAUGAUGGUUGUUACUGUGUCCAGCACAAUGAGGAAAAAACACGCCUCCUCCCCUCUUCCUCUUCCUCCUCCUCUUCCUCUUCCUCCUCCUCUUCCUCUUCCUCUCACAGAGUAGCAGUGUAUGUGGACUGUCCUGCUGGUUCUCUGUCCUUCUACAGAGUCUCCUCUGACUCACUGAUCCACCUCCACACCUUCAACACCACCUUCACUGAACCUCUGUAUCCUGGGUUUGGACUCUGGUAUUAUGAGUCUGUUUCUUCUGUGUGUCUGUUGUAGACAGAACCUCCUCCUGUUGGAGAAACUGUCUCACUGCUGACCAGAUAGUUCAGUCUGUACAGGAUCACACACAGCUGAUGUUAUUUAAAACCAACAUGGUUUCCACAUGGUUUCCAGUUUGUUGUUGUUUUCUGUGACAGUCUGUCGUCAACGAUUGCAGAUGUAUCCAGAGGUUUUCCAUGUAGAUCCUGAACAUCAGGCACAAACAUGGUCUGCAUGGAUCACUUCAUAGAUUUUCAUACUGAACAGCAACAUAACAUCACGUCACUGUUAACAUGUCAUACAAACAACCUCCUGUGUCUCUCUGCCCAUGUUUGGCACUGGCAACAACAUGAGCAAAACUCCACACAAGCUAAAAUCAAGACUCAGCUGUGGAGACAAAACCAAAGAUUUAAAGUGUUGGUCUUGAACAACUAGAAAUCAGUCACAGAGGAGGAGCCACAGAAAAAUGAAGAGAGAUAUAUUCCCUCAGAACUACAGUGUAUAAUGUAACCCAUGUUAAAAUAUGACAUAAAUAAGAAUAAAUAGUUUAAAAGCUACAAAAAUAAGUUUGAAAGUUAAGUGAUUCAUUUAAUGUAAGUUAAUUCAUCAGAGCUAAUUAAAAAUAUUAAUACAACAAUUAUCUAAUGUCCAAGAUGAAAAGUAUAUCUUAAAAUGUAUGUAUUAAAAUUCAUGUCGCUGCCCCUUUAAGGGACUAGCGACAUAGACGCAACACCUGAGCGGAGACCUGAGGGAGCAGAGGAGAAGUCGGAGAAAACGAGCGGCGAUUAAUAAGCACAAAAGUAGUGAAAAAGUUGAUUUUGCAGUUGAAAACCAUAACUUACCUGGUCGGGAACUGACGGGGAUUUUAUGGGAACUAAACCACACCGGUUUUGGUUUUUUGCUUGGUUUGAAGCUCGGUCGGAGCGAGGACAUGCACAGGCGGGAUUCAAGAUGGCGACCCAGACCUUCAACUCAUCUUCCCCAUCGCGUCAGUGAGGAAAUCUUCCUCGUACAGUGAUUCGCUGCCAGAGUGGUAGGCGUAUCAGGGAUCAGUUGAACUGAACUGAGGACUGAUUAAACUAUUAUUUUUGAACUGAAUCGAACUGAAACUUUUCAUUGAACUGAACACUUGAAUUCACAUUUGGACUUGAACUUGGAUUGAAAGUGUCACACUUUUAUUUUCGUGCUGAGUUUAUAUGUUUUGAAUGUGAUUGGAUGAUUGUGGUCCACUUUGAUUGUUUGUUUAAUUGAAGGUAUUUUGUUACCUGUAAAAGAAAAAUGAGUUAACUCAUGAAGGAAAAUAGGAACACUAAAAUAGGUGCAACCUAGGAGAAAAAAGAUUGGUCUAAUUCAACUUAGAUUAGCUUUACUAAAAUAACCUAGGUGAACUAAAGAACAAAAAGAGUGAAAUUUUCUUUUUUCAAUUAUACUUACCUUGUUAUUGGGAACCUGCAGGGCAUUUCUUUGUUUUAUGUACUGUGUUUUACAUGUGUGAUUGUGCAUUCAGUAAAUAACCGGCCUUUGAACUUAAAGCAACGGUCUCUGGUUUAAUUAUUAUUGCUCCCCACUCCUUAGAGCCUAGAACUGGUCCAGUGGCGCAGUAAGUGGUUGGAUACCGGUGCUACAAUAACCUUACUGGUAUUUUACACUCUUAACUGGUGUCCUGUUUUUCCUCCUGUAUAUUUUACCUUUGCUUUUAUUUGAUGUAUUUUCAUUUCAGUUCUUUCAUUUGAUUGUGAAGCUCUUCAUGUCUGUGAGAAAUGUUUUAUAAGUAAUAAUACUGCUGAACGGCCGAGUUGAAGACAAUCCAGUGGUCUUCCUGUAAAUAACUGUGUUGCUUUGGGACCAUAGACUGUAAAUUUCACACGGUUCCAACUGAACAAAUUAUCACUAAAUAUAAAUAACAAUAAUAUAUUUCUUCAUAUUUGCAGGAAGAACAAAUUAUAAUAAAAAUGACGUUGAAAAUCAAUGUUGAAAGGAACAAAUUGAUUGUGUGUAA